AUGGGGGAGGGCAGAAGAGAGAGCACCAAGGAAUCUGCCCAGGCUCCACUGAGGGGGAUCUUCUACCACCAAGCACGGCUGAGAAGAGGGUGAAGGCACUUCUCACCUCCAAGACCCCAGGACUGCUGCACGUGCCUCACUGGUUGGACUUUGCACAACCCAGAGGUGUCAUCACCCAGCACUGGCUCCUCUAGGAUACCUGGAAACCUGUGUGGGCCUUUAAAUAAGUUCCCAUUUAAACUUUGAUACAUACAUUCAGAAGGUCCUCAGAAAUUCUCACUGCCAGAGAGCAAAGAGAGGGGAUAAAGCCCUGGAAUUCACCACACCAGAGACAAGCUGCAACUGUUCCAGGAUGGAGACGCACCUGCUAGCUGAAAAGCCAC